rnacentral:misc_RNA from 1 species
UUAUCACACAGACGACACAGAACAUGUUUUUCAUUUCAUUCUUCAUCUUCAUUCUGUGUUUGACAAACAGGUGACAAACAACGAAAAAUGCGGCUUGUGCAGGAAAUGGCGGUGUUUAUGGAAAAAAAUGUUUUUAUGAAGAUCUAAACCAGUUUUGAUCAUCUUCUAUUAAGACAAGAUGUUCUUGUACAACUUAACCCUGCAAAGGGGUACUACUAUUUCCCAUGCAAUUCAUGGUAAUUUCUCGGGUUCCAAAAUACAAGAGAUUGUAAUUUCAAGAGGAAAAAUCUUAGAACUGCUUAGACCGGAUCCCAACACUGGAAAAGUGCAUACACUCUUAACCAUAGAGAUCUUUGGUAUCAUUAGAUCUUUGAUGCCCUUUAGGUUAACUGGUGGAACUAAGGACUAUGUAAUAGUAGGUUCAGACUCUGGAAGAUUGGUGAUUCUAGAGUAUAAUCAACAGAAAAAUGUUUUUGAAAAGGUCCAUCAAGAAACUUUUGGAAAAUCAGGAGGUAGGCGUAUUGUCCCAGGUCAAUAUCUGGCUACAGAUUUAAGAGGGAGAGCUGUAAUGAUUGGAGCUAUAGAAAAACAAAAAUUAGCUUAUAUUUUGAAUAGAGAUGCUCAAGCAAGGUUGACUAUAUCAUCACCACUCGAAGCACAUAAAAGUAACACAUUAGUUUACCAUAUGGUAGGUGUAGAUGUUGGUUAUGACAAUCCAAUUUUUGCUUGUUUAGAAAUAGACUAUGAAGAAGCUGAUAGUGAUCCCACAGGUGAGGCUGCACAAAAAACACAGCAAACACUAACCUUUUAUGAAAUUGAUUUGGUUGUAAACCAUGUGGUAAGAAAAUACUCUGAACCAUUAGAAGAACAUGCUAACUUCUUGGUAACGGUACCUGGUGGAGAUGAUGGACCUUCUGGAGUUCUAAUUUGUUCAGAAAACUAUUUGACCUACAAAAACUUGGGAGAACAGCAUGAUAUUCGUUGUCCCAUACCUCGUAGAAGGAAUGAUUUAGAUGAUCCUGAAAGAGGAAUGAUAUUUGUUUGUUCAGCUACUCACAAAACAAAAUCGAUGUUCUUUUUCUUGGCUCAAACUGAACAAGGAGAUAUUUUUAAGAUAACAUUAGAGACUGAUGAUGAUAUGGUAACUGAAAUAAAGUUAAAAUACUUUGAUACAGUUCCUGUAGCCACUGCUAUGUGUGUAUUGAAGACUGGUUUCUUAUUUGUAGCAUCAGAGUUUGGCAACCAUUACCUCUACCAAAUUGCUCAUCUUGGUGAUGAUGAUGAUGAAUUGGAAUUCAGUUCAGCUAUGCCUUUGGAAGAAGGUGACACAUUUUUCUUUGCUCCCAGACCUUUAAGAAAUUUGGUCUUAGUUGAUGAACUGGAAUCACUUUCUCCAAUUCUCUCAUCCAGAGUCGCUGAUUUGGCUGGUGAAGAUACCCCACAGUUGUACAUGUUGUGUGGACGGGGCCCUAGAUCAUCUAUGAGAGUAUUGAGACACGGUUUGGAGGUUUCAGAAAUGGCUGUAUCUGAGUUACCUGGUAAUCCAAAUGCUGUAUGGACGGUGAAGAGAAGAAGUGAUGAUCCUGCUAUAAGAAAUUGGGGAUAGACAAAAUGAUGACUUUGAUGCCUAUAUCAUUGUUUCUUUCGUUAAUGCCACAUUGGUAUUAUCUAUUGGUGAAACGGUGGAAGAAGUUACAGACAGUGGUUUUCUGGGUACUGCACCAACCCUAUGCUGUUCUGCAUUAAGUGACGAUGCUCUAGUACAAGUAUAUCCCGAUGGAAUUAGGCAUAUUUGUGCAGACAAACGUGUAAAUGAAUGGAAAGCUGGUAAAAAGAGCAUCGUAAAAUGUGCCGUUAAUCAAAGACAAGUAGUUAUUGCCUUGUCAGGAGGAGAAUUAGUCUACUUUGAGAUGGACCAU